UUAAACAGCCUUCGGGUUCUGGUGUAUACAUGAUAACUUAACGAAUCGCAUGGCCUUGGCGCGGGGAUGGUUCAUUCAAAUUUCUGCCCUAUCAACUUUCGAUGGUAGGAUAGUGGCCUACCAUGGUAUCAACGGGUAACGGGGAAUUAGGGUUCUAUUCCGGAGAGGGAGCCUGAGAAACGGUUACCACAUCCAAGGAAGGCAGCAGGCGCGCAAAUUACCCAAUCCCGACACGGGAAGGUAGUGACAAUAAAUACUGAUACAGGGCUCUUUUGGGUCUUGUAAUUGGAAUGAGUACAAUUUAAAUCCCUUAACGAGGAACAAUUGGAGGGCAAGUCUGGUGCCAGAGCCGGGGUAAUUCCAGUCCAAUAGCGUAUAUUAAAGUUGUUGCAGUUAAAAAGCUCGUAGUUGAACCUUGGGCCUUGGUUGGCCGGUCCCGCUCUACCGGGUGCACUAGGUCCAGGCCGGGCCUUUCCUUCUGGGGAGCCGGAUUGCCCUUCACCUUGGGUGUCGUCGGG
rnacentral:rRNA from 1 species